rnacentral:rRNA from 1 species
UACAGAGGUCUCAAGCGUUUGUUCGGAUUCAUUGGGCGUAAAGGGUGUGUAGGUGGCGCGCUAAGUCGGGUGUGAAAUUUCGGAGCUUAACUCCGAAACUGCAUUCGAUACUGGCGUGCUUGAGGACUGGAGAGGAGACUGGAAUUCAUGGUGUAGCAGUGAAAUGCGUAGAGAUCAUGAGGAAGACCAGUGGCGAAGGCGGGUC